AUUGAACGCUGGCGGCAUGCCUUACACAUGCAAGUCGAACGGUAACAGGUCUUCGGAUGCUGACGAGUGGCGAACGGGUGAGUAAUACAUCGGAACGUGCCCGAUCGUGGGGGAUAACGAGGCGAAAGCUUUGCUAAUACCGCAUACGAUCUACGGAUGAAAGCGGGGGAUCUUCGGACCUCGCGCGGACGGAGCGGCCGAUGGCAGAUUAGGUAGUUGGUGGGAUAAAAGCUUACCAAGCCGACGAUCUGUAGCUGGUCUGAGAGGAUGAUCAGCCACACUGGGACUGAGACACGGCCCAGACUCCUACGGGAGGCAGCAGUGGGGAAUUUUGGACAAUGGGCGAAAGCCUGAUCCGGCCAUGCCGCGUGCAGGAUGAAGGCCUUCGGGUUGUAAACUGCUUUUGUACGGAACGAAAAGCCUCUUUCUAAUAAAGAGGGGUCAUGACGGUACCGUAAGAAUAAGCACCGGCUAACUACGUG
rnacentral:rRNA from 1 species